GUUUCAAUUCUAUUCUAUUUGACACAUCACUCAAAAUUCCGGUGCCGUCAACCGACAUCCCACAAAAUUUUCAGUAAAAUUCCGCUAAACCAAAAAAAUAAGGAAUCCAUAAGCCAUGGUGGCGUGAAUAAUGGAUGUGGUCCAAAAUACCCUGUUGGUGCUACUGGCCGCUGUACUGUUCUUACUGGGUCUCGUCAACGCAUGCACUAAGAAGGUCUACAUAGCCUGCAGGUCGCCAGCUCCUUGCACCAAGUGAACAAAGAAGAUACAAGAAAUGGGAAAGUACGCCAUGAACCGCUUGUGCAUCGUUCUGCUUGCUCUUAUCUCGAUGUUCAUCUUGGGAGUCUCUGCUUGCAAGAAGAACAUCCCGUGCGCCGGCAGAGCACCGUGCCGCAGGGGACCUUACAGAAACUGAUCUUCAGGGAACAGAUAAACACCAAAUACUAAAGCUGUAGAUGGAAGCGAAACCCAAUGGCCGAAGACUGUAUGUUUGAACCGCGUGAAUAGUUUACUGAUGAAGGCAUGAAAGGAGCGUGGUGUCACGUGGCGCUGAUUCUCUGGCUGGUGGCGGUGUGGGUGCUCGAAGCGGUCGGCUGUGGUACCAAACGCAUCGUUUGCGAUCCCGACAAGCCGCCGUGCAACAAAUAAUUUCAUCCAGUGGCCAGUUGGAGAUGGACAGGAUCUAUCUGCAAGAGCUCCUCGUCUUGGUAGUGAGUUUAAUGCUGUCGUAUUUGGAGUCGUGCCUGGCCUGCACCAGGCACACCUACAUCGACUGUCACGAGAAUAGCCCUAAAUGCGAAACGAAGAAAUAAGGAAGGUGCAACAAUGCCUGUAAUCAACGAGUUUGUGCUGGUUAUGCUCCACAUCUUAAUAACUAUGUUUGAUCUCAAGUAUGGGCGCAAUGAUCAGCGCCCUCGCCAAUCUCACCGCCCAGAACUUACCGACCGAAAGUUAAUGAUAAAGAAGUGACCGCCAUGCUAUACACGAAGAUCUUCAUCUGCAUAUUCCACAUUUUGUGUUGCAUUCUCGGAGUAUCCAGUUGCAAGAAGCGUCGAGAGAGAUGCCCUGAUUACUGCCUCCCUUGUACAUACAAAGGACCUAUCAUUGAAGUUAUAUACCCUAAACCGAGCAAAUGAGACCAGCGAUGAACAUAAAUAAUUACUCAAAAUGAAGUUUUUAGAAAUGAUCUUCCAACAUCAAGAACCAAUGUGACCUUUUAAAUUAU